AGUGAACGCUGGCGGUAGGCCUAACACAUGCAAGUCGAACGGCAGCACAGUAAGAGCUUGCUCUUACGGGUGGCGAGUGGCGGACGGGUGAGGAAUACAUCGGAAUCUACUUUUUCGUGGGGGAUAACGUAGGGAAACUUACGCUAAUACCGCAUACGACCUACGGGUGAAAGCAGGGGAUCUUCGGACCUUGCGCGAUUGAAUGAGCCGAUUUCGGUUUAGUUAGUUGGCGGGGUAAAGGACCACCAAGGCAACGAUCCGUAGCUGCUCUGAGAGGAGGAUCAGCCACACUGGACCUGAGACACGGUCCAGACUCCUACGGGAGGCACAGUGGGGAAUAUUGGACAAUGGGCGCGAGCCUGAUCCAGCCAUACCGCGUGAGUGAAGAAGGCCUUCGGGUUGUAAAGCCCUUUUGUUGGGAAAGAAAAGCAGCAUGUUAAUCCCCCGCUGUUCUGACGGUACCCAAAGAAUAAGCACCGGCUAACUUCGUG
rnacentral:rRNA from 1 species